UCCCUGGCAGUCCAAUGGUAGGGACUCUGCACUCUCACUACUGCGGGCCUGGGUUCAAUCCCUGGUCAGGGAA
rnacentral:tRNA from 1 species